GACGAACGCUGGCGGCGUGCCUAAUACAUGCAAGUAGAACGCACAGGUUAUACCGUAGCUUGCUACACCAUAGACUGUGAGUUGCGAACGGGUGAGUAACGCGUAGGUAACCUGCCUGGUAGCGGGGGAUAACUAUUGGAAACGAUAGCUAAUACCGCAUGAUAUUGAUUAUUUCAUGAUAAUUGAUUGAAAGAUGCUAUUGCAUCACUACCAGAUGGGCCUGCGUUGUAUUAGCUAGUAGGUGAGGUAACGGCUCACCUAGGCGACGAUACAUAGCCGACCUGAGAGGGUGAUCGGCCACACUGGGACUGAGACACGGCCCAGACUCCUACGGGAGGCAGCAGUAGGGAAUCUUCGGCAAUGGACGAAAGUCUGACCGAGCAACGCCGCGUGAGUGAAGAAGGUUGUCGGAUCGUAAAGCUCUGUUGUAAGAGAAGAACGGGUGUGAGAGUGGAAAGUUCACACUGUGACGGUAUCUUACCAGAAAGGGACGGCUAACUACGUG
rnacentral:rRNA from 1 species